UGCCCAUAUCACGUUGAAAUACCAGUUCUCGUACGAUCACCGAAGUUAAGCAACGACGAGCCUGAGCAGUAGAUAGGUGGGUGACCGCUUGGGAAUACCACAUGCU